rnacentral:rRNA from 1 species
UACGUAGGGUGCAAGCGUUGUCCGGAAUUAUUGGGCGUAAAGAGCUCGUAGGCGGUUUGUCGCGUCUGCUGUGAAAACUCGGGGCUUAACUCCGGGCCUGCAGUGGGUACGGGCAGACUAGAGUGCGGUAGGGGAGACUGGAAUUCCUGGUGUAGCGGUGAAAUGCGUAGAUAUCUGGAGGAACACCGGUGGCGAAGGCGGCAUUCUGGACCGACAUUGACGCUGAGGAGCGAAAAGCCAGGGGAGCAAAGCGGG